ACAUCUUCAGAUAUCCCGCGAAGUCGAUACCUCGCGGAAAAACUCUCGAAACAGAUCUCGAACAAAACAUUUCACAUCGAAAAAGGAUAUGAGACGACAACUCAUCACCCUUCUUCCACUCCAUACGUAAGCUUAUGAAAAAUGCAACUCGACCAUCUUGUCAUAAAAGCCGCAGAGCGGCGGGGGUUCAAAGCCACACACGGCCAGUCCCGAAACACGAAAUAAGGCCAUUUAAGGCCGAAACAUCAAACAAAAAAAAAAAAAAAAAAUCUCCCGCAAGAGGUCUAACCAAAGUCAUCCUCAGAGCUCACGCUCCCUCUUCACCCGUCG
rnacentral:lncRNA from 1 species